GAAGGAGGGCGGGAGGUAGGGAAGAGGGACAGAAGAAAGGGAAAGAGCGGCUCCAGCUGCUGCUGGCACGCCGACCACAGCUCUGCUCCGGCGGCGGGGCGGAGAAGGGGACUGUUCAAACCUGCUCGGGACUGAGCACCAGGCAGAGCACCAGCAGCUCGUACCUGUGGCCACCGGGCUGGCCGUGGGCUGUGGCAUCUCCAGUGCUGGAGAGACUGAUAACAGGCUGGGUGAGCCGAGCUACAGCCCAACAAGGGGACUUUCUGAGUUUGUCAUCUCUUCAGAUUGGCAACAUUUUUGUUUAAUAUUGAAUUGUUUAAUAGUGUUUAUGUUUUGUGCUGGUGAAUGCUUUGCCUUUGAAAUAAACAGGUUUUUUCUA